AGCAAAAGAAGAAAAUAAAUAAAAACAAGAACCAUUCAUAUUUCAUCACUAACUUCACUUAACUUCUUCACUUUCUCUUCUCUAAAAAGGAAGGAUAAUAAGGAAAAUGAUGUCGUCGCUGUUGAACCCUUCCUUCUCCACUCUCCCAAAUCAUUCGAUUUCAAUCCCUAAUAAUAAAAACCGCUGCGCCUCCACGCUAGUGUCAUGCACCUCCUCUACAUUCGAUCCCUCCUCCUCCCACCUCAACACCACCACCAACCACCCCCCUCCUUCGCCUCCGCCGCCAAACAUCAAGGACGAGGCGCGCCACCACCGCGCCGGCGGCGCGCACAACUUUACGGCGAAGUAUGUUCCCUUCAACGCGGGCUUUGACUCGACGGAAUCGUACUCGCUCGAUGAAAUCGUGUACCGCAGCCGCUCCGGGGGUCUCCUGGACGUGGAGCACGACAUGGAGGCGCUGAAGAGAUUCGACGGCGCGUACUGGCGGACGCUAUUCGACUCGCGCGUGGGGAAGACGACGUGGCCGUACGGGUCCGGUGUGUGGAGCAAGAAGGAGUGGGUUCUGCCGGAAAUCGACCCCGAUGACAUCGUGAGCGCCUUCGAAGGCAACUCGAACCUCUUCUGGGCGGAAAGGUUUGGGAAAGAGUGCGCCGGAAUGAACGAUUUGUGGGUGAAGCACUGCGGAAUCAGCCACACCGGAAGCUUUAAGGAUCUCGGCAUGACGGUGCUCGUCAGCCAGGUCAACCGUCUACGGAAGAUGAACCGACCGGUGGUCGGCGUGGGCUGCGCCUCCACCGGCGACACCUCGGCCGCGCUCUCGGCGUACUGCGCGAUGGCGGGAAUCCCCUCCAUCGUGUUCCUCCCGGCGAACAAAAUCUCGACCGCGCAGCUAAUCCAGCCGGUUUCGAACGGUGCUCUGGUGCUGAGCAUCGACACCGAUUUCGACGGGUGCAUGAAGCUGAUUCGUGAGAUAACCGCGGAAUUGCCGAUUUAUUUAGCGAAUUCGUUGAACAGUUUGCGGCUGGAGGGGCAGAAAACUGCUGCGAUUGAGAUUCUACAGCAGUUCAACUGGGAGGUUCCGGAUUGGGUGAUUAUUCCCGGGGGCAAUCUGGGAAACAUUUAUGCGUUCUACAAGGGAUUCAAGAUGUGCAAGGAUUUGGGGCUUGUGGAGAAGAUUCCGAGGCUUGUAUGUGCUCAGGCUGCGAAUGCCAACCCUUUGUAUUUGUACUACAAGAAUGGGUGGAAUGACUACAAGGCUGUGAAGGCGAAAACUACUUUUGCUUCUGCGAUUCAGAUUGGUGACCCUGUUUCUAUAGACAGGGCGGUCCAUGCUCUGAGGAACUCGGAGGGGAUUGUGGAGGAGGCCACAGAGGAGGAGUUAAUGGAUGCCACGCAGCAGGCUGAUACUACUGGAAUGUUUACGUGUCCGCACACUGGGGUGGCUCUCAGGGCUCUCAUCAAGCUCAGGAAUAGUGGGGUUAUUGGACCCAGAGAGAGGGUUGUGGUGGUCAGCACUGCCCAUGGCUUGAAGUUUGCGCAGACUAAGAUUGAUUAUCACACUGGGGCAAUUCCUGGAAUGGGCCGUUUUGCCAACCCUCCCGUUUCUGUUAAGGCCGAUUUUGGCUCUGUCAUGGAUAAGCUCAAGGACUUCUUGCAUGAUAAAUCCCCCAAGUCUAACAUCUCUUGACCCACUGCCGCUGCCAAUCGCUGAGGGUAGAAGUUGGUAAAAAGAAAAGGAAAACCACGUAACUCUGAGAGCUACACUUGGAACUGCACUUGGAACUGCCAAUGAAGCUAGCUGCAUUUCGAUCUGCAGUUUACGGUGGUCACACUUGAAACCGUGCUUGCAUUUUUAGGGUUUCUUUAUUACUUUAUCUUCUUUUGCUAUAUUUAAUUAAAUUUGUUUAAAAUUUAUAAAUUGUAUUUGUUCAUAUUAUUUAUUAUUUAGUAUUUUUGAUA